AUUGAACGCUAGCGGGAUGCUUUACACAUGCAAGUCGAACGGUAGCACGAAGAAAGCUUGCUUUCUUUGGUGACGAGUGGCGAACGGGUGAGUAAUGUAUCGGAACGUACCCAGUAGCGGGGGAUAACUACGCGAAAGCGUGGCUAAUACCGCAUACGCCCUACGGGGGAAAGGGGGGGAUCGUAAGACCUACCACUAUUGGAGCGGCCGAUAUCGGAUUAGCUAGUUGGUGGGGUAAAGGCCCACCAAGGCGACGAUCCGGAGCUGGUUUGAGAGGACGACCAGCCACACUGGGACUGAGACACGGCCCAGACUCCUACGGGAGGCAGCAGUGGGGAAUUUUGGACAAUGGGGGCAACCCUGAUCCAGCCAUCCCGCGUGUGCGAUGAAGGCCUUCGGGUUGUAAAGCACUUUUGGCAGAGAAGAAACGACUCUGGAUAAUACCCGGGGUUAAUGACGGUAUCUGCAGAAUAAGCACCGGCUAACUACGUGCCAGCCGCCGCAGUAACAC
rnacentral:rRNA from 1 species